AUGCUCCGCGGCGAUCGGGAUCCGUAUACCGAGUCGCCGGCUCCCGGCACGACGACGAGGCACGAGAAAGAGAGAGAGGGAGAAGGACCGGGCGGGCGGGAAGGAGGGGAGCUAGCCAAACCUGUGGUGGCCGGUGCGGAGAAGAAGAGCACCGCCGCGAGCAGCACGGCGCAGCAGGCCGCGGAUCUGGAGCUCCCGGCGACGCCACCAACCGGCGCCAUUUUUCCUGCCCCGCUGCUCCUCCACCGACACUCUCCAGCAGCUGCUGCACCUACCCACCCACCGAUCCCCGCUCCGCUCCGUGCGGCGAGGAAUGCGGCCGCGCCCGCCGAUGAAGGGGGGGAGCUGGAGAUCUGA
rnacentral:rRNA from 1 species